rnacentral:lncRNA from 1 species
AGCAAACCUAAAUGUAAAGUUCCUACACACACCCUGGUCACAUCCACUCACAGCUCCUCCCACAAUUAGUGAGCCUCAGAAGUGUGGUUCAUUAGAUACAGUCAAACCAAUAUGGACACUCACAGAUCAUAGACUACUCACAGAUCAUAGUCAACAUAGGGUUGACUCUUUGUCCUGCACAUUCUGUGGGUUUUGACUAAUGUACACUAACACGUAACCACUAGUGUACUGUCAUGCAGAUUACAUUCGCUGUCUUAAAAGUCCUCUUUGCUCUGCCUAAUCAUCCCUUCCUAUCCUACAAGCUCUUGGAAACAAAUGGUCAUUUCAGUCUUACCCUAAUGUUGCAUUUUCAAGAAUGUUACAUAUUGGGAAUUGUACAAUAUGCAGCCUUUUUUGUUUGGACUCUUUCAAUUAUUAAUAUGCAAAGAAUCCUUCAUGGGUUUUUUCAUGCUUUCAGAAUUCAUUUCACUUUAACACCAAAUAAGAUUGUAUUGUAGAUUUACCACCAUUUGUUUGUACAUCAAUCUAUUGAAGGACUUCUUGCUGACUUCUGGUUUUUGUCAGUGAUGAAUCAAAAUGCUAUAUAUACACAUUUGCAGAUUGUUGUGAGAACCCAAGUCUUCAAUUCAUUUGGAUAAUUACAGAGAGCACAAGUGCUGGAUCA